AGGACGAACGCUGGCGGCGUGCCUAAUGCAUGCAAGUCGCACGCACCUUCGGGUGAGUGGCGCACGGCUGAGGAACACGUGGCUAACCUGCCCUGGAGUGGGGGAUAACGGGCCGAAAGGCUCGCUAAGCCCGCAUACGACCCGCCUAGUGCGGGGGAAAGCCGCAAGGCGCUCCGGGGAGGGGGCCGCGCCCCAUUAGAUGGUUGGUGUGGUAACGGCGCACCAAGUCCGCGAUGGGUUCCGGUCUGAGAGGACGACCCGGCAGACUGGGACUGAGACACGGCCCAGACUCCUACGGGGGGCAGCAGCAAGGAAUUUUCCCCAAUGGGCGCAAGCCUGAGGGAGCAACGCCGCGGUGGAGGAUGACGGCGUUUUCGGGUUGUAAACUCCGUUUUUGGGGGGGGACCAGUCAUGACGGUACCCCCCGAACAAGCCCCGGCUAAACCUACGUGCCAGCAGCCGC
rnacentral:rRNA from 1 species